UCCUAACCGUGCGAAGGUAGCGCAAUCAAUUGUCCCAUAAAUCGAGACACGUAUGAAUGGCUAAACGAGGUCUUAACUGUCUCCUGCAGAUAAUCAGUGAAAUUGAUCUUCCUGUGCAAAAGCAGAAAUUAUAACAUAGGACAAAAAGACCCUGUGGAACUUCAAAAUCAACAGCCACUCCCAUAUACUACCUCUCCUACUCUUGGAAUAUUCCCCUGAGACCUACUGGCCUGUAUUUUUCGGUUGGGGCGACCUUGGAGAAAAACUGAACCUCCAAAAAUUAGACCACCCCUCUAUACCAAGAACAACCCAUCAACGUACUAAUAGUAACCAGAUCCAAUAUCAUUGAUCAAUGGACCAAGCUACCCCAGGGAUAACAGCGCAAUCUCCCUCAAGAGCCCCAAUCGACAGGGAGGUUUACGACCUCGA
rnacentral:rRNA from 1 species